UGUGUUCUAUCCUUCAUUCCACCGGAGUCUGUAUCUGUAUUUAACCAGAUUUCAGUGGUGUGAAGUGCAAAAGACAUGG
rnacentral:miRNA from 1 species